CGAAGGCGGCUGUCUGGUCUGCAACUGACGCUGAGGCUCGAAAGCAUGGGUAGCGAACAGGAUUAGAUACCCUGGUAGUCCAUGCCGUAAACGAUGAGUGCUAGGUGUUGGAGGGUUUCCGCCCUUCAGUGCCGGAGCUAACGCAUUAAGCACUCCGCCUGGGGAGUACGACCGCAAGGUUGAAACUCAAAGGAAUUGACGGGGGCCCGCACAAGCGGUGGAGCAUGUGGUUUAAUUCGAAGCUACGCGAAGAACCUUACCAGGUCUUGACAUCUUGCGCUAACCUUAGAGAUAAGGCGUUCCCUUCGGGGACGCAAUGACAGGUGGUGCAUGGUCGUCGUCAGCUCGUGUCGUGAGAUGUUGGGUUAAGUCCCGCAACGAGCGCAACCCUUGUUACUAGUUGCCAGCAUUAAGUUGGGCACUCUAGUGAGACUGCCGGUGACAAACCGGAGGAAGGUGGGGACGACGUCAGAUCAUCAUGCCCCUUAUGACCUGGGCUACACACGUGCUACAAUGGACGGUACAACGAGUUGCAAACUCGCGAGAGCAAGCUAAUCUCUUAAAGCCGUUCUCAGUUCGGACUGUAGGCUGCAACUCGCCUACACGAAGUCGGAAUCGCUAGUAAUCGCGGAUCAGCAUGCCGCGGUGAAUACGUUCCCGGGCCUUGUACACACCGCCCGUCACACCAUGGGAGUUUGUAACGCCCAAAGUCGGUGGCCUAACCUUUGUGGAGGGAGCCGCCUAAGGCGGGACAGAUGACUGGGGUGAAGUCGUAACAAGGUAGCCGUAGGAGAACCUGCGGCUGGAUCACCUCCUUUCUAAGGAA
rnacentral:rRNA from 1 species